rnacentral:rRNA from 1 species
GAUGUUAGCGGCGGACGGGUGAGUAACACGUGGGUAACCUGCCUGUAAGACUGGGAUAACUCCGGGAAACCGGGGCUAAUACCGGAUGGUUGUUUGAACCGCAUGGUUCAAACAUAAAAGGUGGCUUCGGCUACCACUUACAGAUGGACCCGCGGCGCAUUAGCUAGUUGGUGAGGUAACGGCUCACCAAGGCAACGAUGCGUAGCCGACCUGAGAGGGUGAUCGGCCACACUGGGACUGAGACACGGCCCAGACUCCUACGGGAGGCAGCAGUAGGGAAUCUUCCGCAAUGGACGAAAGUCUGACGGAGCAACGCCGCGUGAGUGAUGAAGGUUUUCGGAUCGUAAAGCUCUGUUGUUAGGGAAGAACAAGUACCGUUCGAAUAGGGCGGUACCUUGACGGUACCUAACCAGAAAGCCACGGCUAACUACGUGCCAGCAGCCGCGGUAAUACGUAGGUGGCAAGCGUUGUCCGGAAUUAUUGGGCGUAAAGGGCUCGCAGGCGCUUUCUUAAGUCUGAUGUGAAAGCCCCCGGCUCAACCGGGGAGGGUCAUUGGAAACUGGGGAACUUGAGUGCAGAAGAGGAGAGUGGAAUUCCACGUGUAGCGGUGAAAUGCGUAGAGAUGUGGAGGAACACCAGUGGCGAAGGCGACUCUCUGGUCUGUAACUGACGCUGAGGAGCGAAAGCGUGGGGAGCGAACAGGAUUAGAUACCCUGGUAGUCCACGCCGUAAACGAUGAGUGCUAAGUGUUAGGGGGUUUCCGCCCCUUAGUGCUGCAGCUAACGCAUUAAGCACUCCGCCUGGGGAGUACGGUCGCAAGACUGAAACUCAAAGGAAUUGACGGGGGCCCGCACAACCGGUGGAGCAUGUGGUUUAAUUCGAAGCAACGCGAAGAACCUUACCAGGUCUUGACAUCCUCUGACAAUCCUAGAGAUAGGACGUCCCCUUCGGGGGCAGAGUGACAGGUGGUGCAUGGUUGUCGUCAGCUCGUGUCGUGAGAUGUUGGGUUAAGUCCCGCAACGAGCGCAACCCUUGAUCUUAGUUGCCAGCAUUCAGUUGGGCACUCUAAGGUGACUGCCGGUGACAAACCGGAGGAAGGUGGGGAUGACGUCAAAUCAUCAUGCCCCUUAUGACCUGGGCUACACACGUGCUACAAUGGACAGAACAAAGGGCAGCGAAACCGCGAGGUUAACCCAAUCCCACAAAUCUGUUCUCAGUUCGGAUCGCAGUCUGCAACUCGACUGCGUGAAGCUGGAAUCGCUAGUAAUCGCGGAUCAGCAUGCCGCGGUGAAUACGUUCCCGGGCCUUGUACACACCGCGCGUCACACCACGAGAGUUUAUA